ensembl:lncRNA
AUGUACUUUUUAGUCUGGUACAUGACAGUAGAAGCCAGUCAUGGUGAGCAAAACAGCUGUGCUGCUCUACAGAGUCCUGCCAUGAAAGAGGCCAGCAAUGAGUGUCUGCUUGAAUUCUACUGCCACGUUUGGAGAGGUUCAUCUCGUCUUUGUCAGGCAUUUGGGGAGCUGAAAGUGUUUCUCCAGGAGGGCCCAAGGAGGACGCCCUGUGGUGGAUGUCUGGUAACCAUGGAGAUAUGUGGCAUCGGGCAGAGAUGAGUGUGGGUCGCACAAAUCAAGUUUUCCCUCUCCUCUUUGAGGCUAACAGAACCUGUAGUGAGCUUGGGGACAUUGCUAUAGAUGACAUCUCCUUCUUCAAUUGCUCUCUGCCAGGCAGUCUACAAACACAUCAACAUUUUCUGACUGACAAAUCAGUUUUAAAAAACUCAGCUCUCUUUAACCUUAUCCAUGGCAUGUAAUGGGCCAAUAUAUUAGUCCAUCAUCCAUUAUUUCUUCUUCAGAGCCUCAUGAAUCUUGUCAGGUGGGAAUGUUCACAUGUUCAAACAAUGUGUGUGUGGAGCUGAACAGAGUGUCUGACUACAGCGAUGACUGCAGCGAUGGAACGGAUGAAGAGCUCUGUGGUAUGACUGUGGGUUAUUCAUGAGCCAGGAUAAAAUACAAUGUUUUGAAAAAUUUGGAUGGGGUGUGGUGUCUGUUUAAACAAUCAAAAAUAAGGUUCUGUCAGGGCCUCAAAGUUUUUGAGCUUAAAAGGGACAGCUAUGAAGUACGCAGGACAGUUGCAUAGUAUAAGGAACUGUACUGUAUCUUGCUUUUUUGUUGGACUAGAUGUAAAGGUUUUUACCCAUCUCUGCUGUUUUGAGCAUGGCAUGUGCUUGUGGGAGAAGAGUGACUUGAAAGCUGGCUGGAUUUUGCAGAAAGGAGAACAGGCCUGGCCUAAGCAUAGACCACCAAGAGAUCACACCCACAAUACUGCAGCAGGUACAUCAAUACCUCUUUAAAAUUAAGCACAUACACUACCAUUCAAAUGUUCAAGCUCAAUAAGAUUUGUUUGGAAGAAAUACUUUUAUUCAGCAAGGGC